AGCGAACAGAAUCAAAGGUAGAGGUGAAAAUACAAGGUACAAGAAUUAUAAAAAAAUAGAUUGAAUUAGGGAUUAUUUCUAUUGCUAUUUGAAACAUUAUAAUUGUAUCAACAAAACCGAAUCAUAUUUGCAAGAGGUGUCACACGGAUUCAGAAACUAAAUUUCUUUGAUCAGGCUAAAAACUAGCUGAUUUGCAUCGAAUUGGUGGAAGAAAUCCGAACAUAGUGCGACACUACACUGAGAGAAAUAAUUAGUAAAUAUAACGAAUUUUUUGGUAAAUACUACCAAUCUAUAGUCAUUUUCGACCGUACUAAUAAACACAUAUGUCAAGCAGAACCAUGAUUCGGAAGCCCAAUAUCGGCUACAUUUUCUCGCCGAAAAUGCACGUAUCAGAAUUAUAUCCUUAUUAUACCUCCGUAUU